UGCCAGCAGCCGCGGUAAUACAGAGGGUGCAAGCGUUAUUCGGAAUCACUGGGCGUAAAGCGCAUGUAGGUGGAAUAUCAAGUCAGGUGUGAAAUCCCGGGGCUCAACUUCGGAAUUGCGCUUGAAACUGAUAUUCUUGAGAUUGGGAGAGGGAAGUGGAAUUCCAGGUGUAGAGGUGAAAUUCGUAGAUAUCUGGAGGAACAUCGGAGGCGAAGGCGGCUUCCUGGUCCAAUUCUGACACUGAGAUGCGAGAGCGUGGGUAGCAAACAGGAUUAGAUACCCUGGUAGUCCACGCUGUAAACGAUGUUAACUAGCUGUUUGAGGAAUUGACCCCUUGAGUGGCGUAGCAAACGCGUUAAGUUAACCGCCUGGGGAGUACGGUCGCAAGAUUAAAACUCAAAGGAAUUGACGGGGGCCCGCACA
rnacentral:rRNA from 1 species